AGCAUUAGCAAACAUAAAAUGCCAUUCUACUUAACGAAGUGCAAUUUUACAUGGACGUUGAAUCAAAUUUUAAGGCACAUCUGUCCCUUUUUUCUCACAGUAGAAUCAAACAAUCUACUAGAUGUUCCAUAUGCACAUACAACAUGUUCCAUAUGCAUAUAUGACAUGUAGCAUCCACACUAUAGAAGUCCAGUCAUAUCAUUCUUUUUUAUUUAGUUUCAUCUUUGUUUCCACGUCUCCACUAUAAGGCGCAACAUGGUAUGCAUACUGUUGGAGAACAGAGAAUACAACCAUCUCCAAACAUACCAAGACAUUCUGAAGAGCUUCCUCAAUGUGCUCCACAUCCAACCAGAAAUGAUGAGAUCGAAUUACACCCAAGGCAACUAGUAUGUCAAGCACCACUCCCUGCACAUAAACAAGUAAUAUGGUUGAAUGCGCAUAAACUCAUUUGAUUUUUCAAGUAAUAAAUGAAGAGGACAAGAACAUAAAUAAUUGGGAAAGAAUAAAUCCUUGAAAAGGAAGUUUCAGCAGAUUGCAAAGGAGUUCUCAGCCCUCAUGAUUUAGAGGUGCACGGACCUAUACAAAAAACUGUAACAACUUAUGCAUUCAUAGCUAAAGUCAUCUAGGCUUACUCAGCAGAACCAGUUACCAAACUUACUCAAAUUCUGAAACUUUUAUUAAACAACUUAAGUCAAAGGUAAUUUAAGCCCGGUGCAAUGAAUUGGGUGUGUAAGGUUGAAUGAUUUGCUUUUGGUCCAGUGUUCUGUUAGGAUGCUCUUUUUGUGCCCUCAGAGCCCUUCCAAGUUUGCUUUCCAGCUUUGGCUUAGAAAGCCCCCCACCCCAAAAGAAGAAGCAGGAGAACAAGCUACAGAUCUGGGGUAGAUAUUUACCUGCCAAAAGCAAAAGAAGACAAUCCCCUUGAUGCACAUGAACUUGGCAAGUGGAUUGUGUGGUGCCAACUCCUUUGCAAACACAUGGUAAAACACUACUAGAGAAUACAGUGCCAGAGAAACAGAAAUGUUGAGGAUAAUGGUGAAUGUCCAACUCAACCAAGAGGGAUAAAUCCCAAGAAUUUGCAGUGUUAUCAUCAAAAUCGAGCAUAUUGGGCGAAUGAUAACAAAUUGCCAUGUCCAAUAUUUGAGGAGCCUCAGGGUAUGGUGGUCCAGCCGGACAGUGCGAGGCUGGAAAAGUGUCAUUGGGAAAGAAUGGUGAAUUUCUCUUCCUUUUAUUCCAUCUGGCACAAUAUUUCUACUGAUGGAUAUAUUCAGGUAACUGUACAUCAAAGCCAGGAACUUGGCAAUCACCAAAGCCUCAUAACAUUCCUUAAUCGAGUCCAAAAACAUGAAGAAUGCCUUACUCCCCUGAACAUCCAAUAAACCCACAAAUGAGUCGAUGGCAUAUAUUGGAGCCAUCAGGAUAAUCAUUAUUAUGGCCUUUUGUUCCUUUGGGUUUUUCCACUAAAAAAGAUGCUGCGAUAGGAGCUGCAUUGUAAAAUGCAUUGUAAGCAUUGUACAGAAUGCAGAUCCCAUUACUGUAAGCUGCCCUCGAUUCAAAGUGGUUAUAUCCAUUAUUCAACAAUAAGAUGAGAAGUCUCUGACAACAGCAUUAACAAAUAUAAGAUCAGUAGUCAAUGGAAGAAAUUACAAAUUAAGCAAUAUACACGGCACAAUUUCAGAAGAGAAAACACCUAAACUGGCUUCUGCAACCCUGUCCCACAAUGAGAGUGUUACAGAAUUUAGCUUUGUGAUGCUCAUUAUCUUACUUCGAUCUACUAAAACCAAAAAGAAGCACCAAAAAACUCAAAAAGAAAGUUACACAUUAAGCCACUUUUUUGCAACCACACCAUAAAUACGUAUCCAUUGACUUAUACUACAUAAUUAAAAUUCAAAGAUAUGAUUUUGCAAAGCUAUUGCUAAUAUUGAAGUUGAACUUCAUCAAUGGGUGAAGUAUCACAUCUAUGAUUGCAAAAUAGAAAGACAGAAAAAUAUGUGCAAUUGCAUCCCUUUAUGUAAAAGAAAAGUACUCCUAGCAACAGGAUAUCCCUCCUACCAAUUUGAAUGCUCACUGCCAUCAGUACUAAGCUCAAGCCCCAGCCCCAACACCCAAAACAAAGAUUUCUUGAGCAAUUUCUUUUGUUUCGUGAAAAAGGUCAAAGUAAUUUUUUACUUCAGGUGCUUUAGAUUAAAGUAUCAGAAAAGCAAGAACUUCGCAGAUAAGAUCGCCAAUCAUUUUCCCCUAUACUAUGGAGCUUACUAGAUCAAAAUGAGGAAGAUUGAACGAGAAAACGAAGAUCGACUAAAACGUUAUCACUGAUUUGAUCGAGGCUUGUUCUGGCUUCUUAGGCUGCUGACUGCUGUGUGCGGAUACAAGAAAAUAAAAUCCAAUUUCAUCAGAAAUUCAGAAUUCAGAAGUAAAUUCCAAGUUAAUAACGUGGGCCCAUGACAGGCAGACAGGUAGUCAGUCGUCCUUGCUAUCUACAUGGAAAAACUCUUCUGGUCUCCUGGGCUGGCGGUGGCUAGGGGUUGGCGUUCGAUUUGGGUUCGG
rnacentral:misc_RNA from 1 species